AUGGGCAAGCGGAGGGUUGAGAGGUCGCUUCUCACGGAGAAGACGGCGGACGCCGGCGCCGUCGCGAAGCGGACGCGCUUCGGUUCCCACGCGCUCGCGCCGCCGCCCUCUCGGUCUCCGGCCGCCGUUCAGCCGCCCGCAGAGAGCGGCGAUGACAGGUCGCUGGCGGACGUCUCCGCCGUCGAGCCUGCCAGGAGGCGAACACGGUCCAAAUCCAACCCGCGCCUACCUCCUCCACCGACGGCGCAGAAGAAGGUUUCCUGGGCGAUACCAGUAACUGAUAAAGGCAAAGAAGAACAUAAGCAAAGAGAAGUUCCGAACACCAAGAUGAGGACGAGGACGCAGCCAUCCAGGAGAGGAAAAGGAGACGCAGGCGAGGCAAGCAAUGCGUCGGUGAUACCUCCUGGAAAUUUUGAUCGAGAAAGUCAACCUCGCAUGCAACCUACACAUUCCGAGCAACAGCCAGUUGGUACAAGGGGUCAGCAGUACCCGAACAAAGGUGAGGUGCAAAAGGAAGCUCAAAGGAGAAGCAAGAGGCAAGAACCGAGUGGAAGGGAAAACCUGAGCAGAGCACUCGUUCCUGCACCGGUGAGAAAAAGCACGAGAAGAAAGUCAAGGCCUUUGCAGUGGUGGCUUGGUGAAAGGUUUCUGUAUAACAUCAAAUAG
rnacentral:rRNA from 1 species